GUGUAAGUCCCAUCCCCCAUAUCCUUCACAAUCCCUUCUUGCUCCGUACCCCCAACACCCACUCCAGGCGACACCUUCACCUUAAUCUGUGCUCCCCCAUGCAGGACCUUCCUUCCAUCCGCGUCCUUUGUCACCACCANNNNAGCACAAGCAGUCCCACCAGCAAUGCCCGCCCCAACCGCAGUGCACUUGGCAGGAUCCACAGGGCCCACAGGUUUAUCGGCCAAGUCCUCCUCUGCUUCUCCUUCUGAAUCAGAAUCUGAAGGUUUAUCAGGAUUGUUGGUCACGGCUUUGAACG
rnacentral:misc_RNA from 1 species